AGCACUUCUCAGCUGUCAGUGCUCCCCAGCUGCAGGCCAUGGGGUGAGCUUGUGAGAAAACUGCUUACACCUGAGAAUAAGCUCCCUCACAUUGAAAGGUGUGGAAAUGGGCAGUGAAGUGAUGGCAAGAAGCCAUCUUGCACCACUCCUUGUAAGUUGCUUGAAAAUGGAGCCAUUUGUCACCCACAAAACAGAGGAGACAGCAAAAUGAGGACGUACAGCCCUCUGCUCCUCUGAAGCACGGCUGGAUACAGCACACUGCGAACAGCACUCCAGCCAGCCCCCGCGUGCUACCAGCUGUGAGAGAGGGCAGCAGCUGCACCUCUCAGCCAUACAGCAACUGCAGCAGGCCCUGAAAAAUAAAAUUUUAUAACUCCCACUGACAAGAAUUAAUCCAGGACAGUUUCUGCUUCUAGCGUGCAUAAAUGUUCCUCUUCAAAACCAGCUUUUCGGCAAGCCUAUCAGCCUGGAAGGUGUUCAAAUGAUUAAUUUUUCGAAGACUGAUGGUGCUAGGAAUCCAGGAGAUAGUGGUAUGGGUAUCAUCUCAUCUCAAGUAUGAAGCUUGUACCUGUAUUGUAAGAAGGGAGAGUUCUGGGAGACUAUGGAAAUUUUAAUAGUUUUUUUUUUUUUUUUCCCUGCUCCUGUAGUUCCCUGAGCCAGAUAAGCCUCUGAGGCUUUUCAAAUCUCAGACAGCUUCUGGUGUUAUAAGUACUUCUUAAUCACAUAUUUUGGAGAGGCUAUAAUGGCCCAGUGAUUUCCUAGGUUUGUAGGCCAGAAGGCAUCGCUAUGAUCAUCUACUCUGACCUCCCCUAGAGAUGCAGGAAUCGCAGGGUGAAAUUCUAUUAAAUGGAUUAAACAGUAAAUGUAAAAUUAAAAUGAUUAUCAGUUUUGAUAUUUUUUUCUUGGUACUGGACCAGGACUUAAGGUAGUGAGGUUGCACGAUGCAAAAUUGCUCAAUUUCCAUGUUUUUUUCUUAUACUGUGUUGCAGAAGAGAAGCCUUCUUCCUUACCAUUUAGCAAGCAUUGGCUUUUUUUUUUUUUUUUUUUGGCUUCUACUUCGAUAUGGAAAUGUAAUCUUGUUGGUGGGUAUUAGGAUAUCUGUGCUUUAGCAACAGCUCUGUGAGAUCAUCCCUCUCGUGGCCCUGCUUACAGCCUGGGAUAUCGCAUGAACACAACACAUCACUUACCAAAGAUGACAGAGGGCACAUGUACAGUUUCUUUAAGAUCCCAGAGUAUAUCUGAUGCCUACAUUGUAUCUGCCAGCUUGUGUAAGACUGAUAUUAACACCAGUGUAAAACUGAAUGUGUCCCAGCAUUGGGGCCAGGAUCACUUAGGUUACCUGUGAGCCACAAAAACAGAGCAGUCCUGGAAGCACCUUGUCAUGUCCCAGCAUAAUGAUCACCUUUUUUGAGCCCCCUGGUUCUUUUCACCUACUGUUUACUCUGGAAAGGAUCAGAUAUCAUCACUCUUCCCAUUACCUUUGUGGUAGGUUUUGUUUGUUUGUUUGUUUGUUUGGCAGUGCAAUAGGUCAUGCACAGCAGCUUAGGUGCAGCUGUUAAGCUGGUUGCUUUAAAGCAAAUGGUACCAAUCUAGUAUUAUGAUAGUCAUAAGGUAAAAGUAACUCUCAGAUGAACAUAGCCUGAAUUCCAGUAAAAGUGAAGUCAAUACCAGGGCAACUUAAAGUAUAGUAUUUGCUUCUCCUGCAAUUGAUUGUGCAUUUUCUGCCCCUCCUGGCUUAGCAGAGGUGAUUUACAGCCAACGAUUCACGUUGCAGAGAGGAUCCACUCUAAUUCAGCAAAGAGAUUCAUCAGGAAAGAUCUGAAGAGUGACCCCAGAGUUACUGGGUUUUGUGAAUCUCUCUGAAACUGCUGUGGAAAAAUGAGCUUCCUGAUGGUGUUACUCCAUGGAUUCAGACAGCCUAGAAACAAAGAUGACUUUGGUUUUGCCCUGGUUGAUGGAGUAGCAUGUGAUAUAGUGCAGAAGGAGUCUGUGCUGCUCUGGCUUCCCCUCAGGUGCCCGCUUCCAAAAUACCCAUGGGCUUCAUCAUCUGAUUUAAUACAUUUCCUUCAGCAACACCAAUAUUGUGUGUAUAUCUACCAAGAGAUGCAAAACGUGCUGGAAUUGCAAGAGGUGCUCACUUGAAUAAUCACUUAGGCUAAUGCAAAAAGGGUUAUGAAUUAACAGGCUGGAAGAGUAAACAAGAUUAGAGCUAAGUGCUUUUUGGGGCUGUGUAAAAAAUAAUCAAAGGCUAAUUGCAAAGGAGUGGGUGAGGCAAGCCCAUAAAUUAGCAGGGGUGAGAGUGGAAAAUGGAGAGGCCAGGUAGUAGGGUGGUCAGGUAAAACAAGCAGUGAAGGACAGAGGGCGAAAGAGACGGUGCUGAAGGGUCCAACAAGCAGGAAAGAUAUCAAACAUCCUUCCACAGUCCUCAGACAGUUUGAGGAGCAGUGACUUUCAUAAAGCUCUCUAUAGUGCAAACUGGAGAGCCAAUGACAAAAGCAUUGAUGUUCUGUAUUUUCCUGCUCCUGGUACUCAGCUUCCUGUGGUGUCAGCAGAAGGUGUACAGAGAGAGGAACAACCCAGCAGGGCCAGCCCAGCGCAUGGAUGGAGGAUGAUGGAAGAAGUGCAUGAACCUCCCUUUUAAUUGUUAUUUUAUUGAAAGACGCAAUAUACUGUAUUGGCGGUGGAGAAAAAGUGAAGUAAAAAAGGUGUCCGUUCUUGCAAAAGCAUCUCUUAACCUUGAUCAAAUGGGAUCCUUUGACACCCGCACUGCCGAACCCAGAACCUUUCAUGCCAGCAAGAGAAGCCACCAAGGUGAGAACAGAGUGGACUGAUAACAACGGGAGUGCCACCUCAGCACCAUUCAAAGGUAGCAUAGUCUGUGCUAAAAGGUUUGCGGUCUCACUAAGACCUUUGCUCACUCCUCAUUCCAAUGUGCGGAUGCGACUCAUGAAAUGGCUGAACCUCUAGCAAAAACUCAGAGAUACAGCCAUAUUCUGGACAAUUUAUUACAGUCUUUGCUUGAUUCCUGAUUAAAAUGAAGUGGUGGGGUCCUAACGGA